AUGGCUCAUGGAACAUUGCGUGAGCAUCUAUACAACACCAGAAACCCACCACUGUCGUGGCAGCAGCGCCUUGAGAUUUGCAUCGGUGCAGCCCGAGGACUGCAUUACCUCCACACUGGUGCAGAGCAAGGAAUCAUCCACCGUGACGUUAAGACUACCAACAUCCUGUUGGAUGAUAGGUUCAUGGCAAAGGUUUCCGACUUUGGUCUGUCUAAGGCUAGUCCAGACAUUGACAACACCCACAUGAGCACCGCUGUAAAAGGCACCUUUGGAUAUCUUGAUCCGGAGUACUUCCGGCUGCAGCGUCUCACCAAAAAAUCAGAUGUGUACUCUUUCGGGGUCGUGUUGUUUGAGACCCUGUGUGCACGCCCUGUGAUAAACACCAAGCUCCCCGAGGAGCAAGUGAGCUUGCGUGACUGGGCGCUAUCUUGCCGAAAGAAAGGUGCACUCGAGGAGAUCAUCGACCCCCGUGUUAAGGAGGAAAUCACCCUUGAGUGCUUCAGGAUAUUUGCAGAGAUAGCGGAGAAAUGUGUUGCUGAUCGCAGCAUAGAUAGGCCAUCAAUGGGUGAUGUACUCUGGAACCUUGAGGUCGCACUCCAGGUGCAGGAUAGUGCAAGCUACAACAGCAGCUGUGCCGAGAGUGCGUCAUCUCUUCAGAUCACCGCGGUGGAUUCAGACAGACCAUCUACCAACUCAACAAUUAGCGUUGCAGCACAGGAAGCCAUAUUUUCAGAUAUUGCACAUCCAGAAGGCCGAUAA
rnacentral:rRNA from 1 species